AGAGUUAAAUAGUACGUGAAAUUGUUGAAAGGGAAACGAUUGAAGUCAGUCAUGCUAGUGAAAAUUCAGUUUGACGGGUUUUGGGUUUGGGAGUAGAGGCAGGGUCAAACCGUUUCUCUUUUGAACUUGGGAUUUGUCAGAUGCACUUUUUCUUUGGCAGGUCAGCGUCGAUUUCGGAGGUUGUAAAAUACUUGGGGUAAAGUAACUCUGCUUCGGUAGAGUAUUAUAGACCUUGAGGGAUGCAGCCUGCGGGAUCGAGGAUUGCAGCAAAUGCCUUUGGCUUGGCGCCUGAUCUCUGGAUGUUACCUCGCUUGUGACAACAUUCUUGCCUCCGGUGAGUACUAAUGCCCAUUAGGUUAGAGCGACCAGAAAUUUGCUAAGGAUGCUGACGUAAUGGCUUUAAACGACC
rnacentral:ncRNA from 2 species